CUGGCAUUUUUCCAGCCUGGCACUGAAUGAAUGCUUUUAGCUUUGCAAGCAGACAUCUGUGGAAGCCGAGGGUCAGGGACCCAAUCCAAAGCUAAUUGACUUCAAAUUUCCUUGGAUCAGGCUCUAGUUAGGUGGCCAGAGCAUUUAGGACCAUCACACUGUACUCCAGUGCACAGGUGCUCUCAACUACCAACUAUAAGUGAGCUUAAACCUGAGCAGACUAAGGACAUCUCAGAAUUUGCACAAUGUUAACAGACACUGGGUUUUGUGGCAUACAAAUAGUUCAUCUUCAGGCACCAGGCACCGGGAAGUUUUGUUCAGGGACUGAAAAUAUCCAGAUCGGGAGAUACCACAGUAAUUCCAAACAUGGCAUAUCCCUACCAAGAACCUAAGGAUUGCCUCUGUGUCUCCUUGUAUUUGCUGCAUCCUUCAAGGCCUCUUGCAAUCAGCCACCAUCAUAUAAAGCCAUGAAUAUCAUGACUUCAAAAUCAACAAGAGAGAUCACUACUGAGCAAAACAAGGUUAGGUCAUGUUAUCUGAAUAGUGCAUGUUCUCCCCUUAGACUAUCCUAGUGUUUGCUUCCAAAGCCCACUGAAGUUGACAGGAAUUUUUGCCUGUAAAUAUACAAUCAUCUGCAUUUUAGAGGCAGGUGAGUGAGAUGGAGAAGUUAAUGGUAAACUUUUUCACAGUGACAACUCAUUUUGGGAGCCUUUAUUUUUGGUGUGAGCCAUGUUGGACAUCAUUUUCAAAGAUGGCUAGGUGUAGUUCCAGCUGCAAAUGCCCGGCAUCUUCAAAAAAUCAGAGCUUACAUAUUUUAACCUGUGUGCCCAGAAUUACCUCUGAAAAUACCACCCUCCAUGACCAGCCACACAGUGAAUACAUUUUAGGGAAUAAACUCAUUAGAAAAAGGAGCUCAUGUUCAUGGAUUGGAUAUGUUUCUGGCUUCCAACUCAAUUCACUAGGCUGUGCUGUCUUCCAAAAUCUGUAUUUGAAUAUCUCUGCACUGGUAUUAUCCCCUAUUUCAACACUCACCUGUACAAAGCAUGUUGCUGUUGAUACACACAAAAUUUUUGUUCUUAUUGAAGUAGUACCAGAAAGACCUUUCUUUGCUUCCACCAUUUUGUUUUGGACACUGUCAUGAUGAGGCAGACAG